AUUGAACGCUGGCGGCAGGCCUAACACAUGCAAGUCGAGCGGAUGAAGGGAGCUUGCUCCUGGAUUCAGCGGCGGACGGGUGAGUAAUGCCUAGGAAUCUGCCUGGUAGUGGGGGAUAACGUCCGGAAACGGGCGCUAAUACCGCAUACGUCCUGAGGGAGAAAGUGGGGGAUCUUCGGACCUCACGCUAUCAGAUGAGCCUAGGUCGGAUUAGCUAGUUGGUGGGGUAAAGGCCUACCAAGGCGACGAUCCGUAACUGGUCUGAGAGGAUGAUCAGUCACACUGGAACUGAGACACGGUCCAGACUCCUACGGGAGGCAGCAGUGGGGAAUAUUGGACAAUGGGCGAAAGCCUGAUCCAGCCAUGCCGCGUGUGUGAAGAAGGUCUUCGGAUUGUAAAGCACUUUGAGUUGGGAGGAAGGGCAGUAAGUUAAUACCUUGCUGUUUUGACGUUACCAACAGAAUAAGCACCGGCUAACUUCGUG
rnacentral:rRNA from 1 species